AAUUUCUCUUCUGCCCGCGGUCGAACGAACUUCCGCCGAUCGUUCGUCUUCCGUUGACCGUGUGUUAUCCGCUGACGGUUCAACGUCGGCCAACUAUUUCGCCUCCGCCCACACUUCAACGUUCGCCCAAUCUUCUGCCAACAACCGGUUUGAACCAGAUAUGCUAGCAUUCUCAGGUUUCUAUUAUGGUGGAGGUAAAAAGGAAAGGAGAGAAUUUGGAGCUAUUCGAAGGCGAUGGAAAACAUUACAUCAAGUAAGCAACCCUGAUAAAGAAAGGAGGCAUGGAAAAUGUCCACCGACUCCAGAAGAGGUUUGUUUGAUGCUGAGAGCACUCGGAUAUGGGCAGGAUGUUUAUAUCCUUCAAUUUGGCUUGAAUAUGUGCCUCUAUGGCCCUUAAAUCUCCAUGAUUUUUUGCUUUCCAUGGCUUUUAGGUCCUCUGAUGCCGCCACAUCACCAAAUUUGCUUUCUUUGGCUACUUUUAGCACUAAUUGUCGCCUACCACUGACACCCACUUUGUCAUCUUUUGGUCUUAGGCUCUUGAAAUCUUCAACUAGAUCAUCUAAGGUUUUGCAAGAAUCCAUUGAAGCAGUGAAACCAUAUUUGCUGCAAUUAAUUGAUUUAUAGGCCUUUUUGUAGGUUUGGUAGCCAAAUUUUGGUUCAAAUGUACUUAUUUAAAUAGCUUGUCCGUACCAAAACAUAUAUGUUAAUUGCUUCAUUGUACAAACAUUGUACGAACAAUUGUACGAACAAUUGUACAUAUAUUAAAGUAUAUAUAUUAAAUCGUUAAUCAUUUUUGUCCA